UUCAAAGUUCAAUUAAUUUGUAAAACAGCUGUUUGGGAUUUAAAAAAGAAUAACAACUCUUAUCUCUGAAGAUAUAGAAUUUUCGAGUAGUUCAUCAAGCAUAAAUUGUCAACUUUUUUGCUGAUUGAAAUUUAUUCAUCGCAGCAUUUCUUCAGUGGUUUUCUCCAAAGGUACCAUGAUCAAGUUCGUAGUUGUCUUCGCACUCAUUGUGGUUGUGGCACAGGCCAAGCUGUGUCCGGACGAUUACUGCGACAAAGUGCAGUGCGAAAAGCUCACGGACUGUCACGAGAGCAACGGACAAAAGAUUCGGGUGAAAGGAAGCUUCUGUCAAUGCUGUGACACUUGCGUCAACAUUUUACGUGAAGGAGAGGAUUGUUUACCUGACAUUCCAAACAUGAUCAUCACCGCUGAAUGUGCAGAAGGAUUGCAAUGUGACGAGACCACGCUGACCUGCAGGGUAGAAUAACUUCAAAUAUGUGGUUAUAAAAAAAAUAUUUUAUAAAAAGAACUUGGUGUAAAGUUUUCUUUACUGUAAAAUUAUUCAAUAAAUGCUUGGAAAUGUCA